rnacentral:rRNA from 1 species
AGAGUUUGAUCCUGGCUCAGGACGACGCUGGCGGCGUGCCUAAUACAUGCAAGUCGAGCGGACCGAAGGGAGCUUGCUCCUUUAGGUUAGCGGCGGACGGGUGAGUAACACGUGGGCAACCUGCCCUGCAGACUGGGAUAACUUCGGGAAACCGGAGCUAAUACCGGAUAACACCGAAAACCGCAUGGUUUUCGGUUGAAAGGCGGCUUUUAGCUGUCACUGCAGGAUGGGCCCGCGGCGCAUUAGCUAGUUGGUGAGGUAACGGCUCACCAAGGCGACGAUGCGUAGCCGACCUGAGAGGGUGACCGGCCACACUGGGACUGAGACACGGCCCAGACUCCUACGGAAGGCAGCAGUAGGGAAUCUUCCGCAAUGGACGAAAGUCUGACGGAGCAACGCCGCGUGAGCGAAGAAGGUCUUCGGAUCGUAAAGCUCUGUUGUCAGGGAAGAACAAGUACCGUUCGAACAGGACGGUAC